GGCCGAAAGGCGUAGUCGAUGGGAAACAGGUUAAUAUUCCUGUACUUGGUGUUACUGCGAAGGGGGGACGGAGAAGGCUAUGUUGGCCGGGCGACGGUUGUCCCGGUUUAAGCGUGUAGGCUGGUUUUCCAGGCAAAUCCGGAAAACUAAGGCUGAGGCGUGAUGACGAGGCACUACGGUGCUGAAGCAACAAAUGCCCUGCUUCCAGGAAAAGCCUCUAAGCAUCAGGUAACAUCAAAUCGUACCCCAAACCGACACAGGUGGUCAGGUAGAGAAUACCAAGGCGCUUGAGAG
rnacentral:rRNA from 1 species